rnacentral:rRNA from 1 species
UACGUAGGUGGCAAGCGUUGUCCGGAUUUACUGGGCGUAAAGAGCGCGCAGGCGGUCGUUCAAGUCGCGUGUGAAAGCCCCCGGCUCAACUGGGGAGGGUCACGCGAUACUGAUCGACUGGAAGGCAGGAGAGGGUAGUGGAAUUCCCGGUGUAGUGGUGAAAUGCGUAGAUAUCGAGAGGAACACCUGCGGCGAAGGCGGGUUGCUGGGCUGACACUGACGCUGGAUGCGCGAAAGCCAGGGGAGCGAACGGG